GGCGGGAUAGCUCAGUAGGUAGAGCAGGAGAAUCAUAAUCUCUUGGUCGGGGGUUCAAAUCCCUCUCCCGUCA
rnacentral:tRNA from 1 species